GAUGAACGCUAGCGAUAGGCCUAACACAUGCAAGUCGAGGGGCAUCACAUGAAGUAGCAAUACGGAUGGUGGCGACCGGCGCACGGGUGAGUAACACGUAUGCAACCUGCCUUCAACAAGGGGAUAACCCGUUGAAAGACGGACUAAUACCCUAUAACACAGGGGUCCCGCAUGGGAAUAUUUGUUAAAGGACAACCGGUUGAAGAUGGGCAUGCGUUCCAUUAGCUAGUUGGCGGGGUAACGGCCCACCAAGGCAACGAUGGAUAGGGGAACUGAGAGGUUUAUCCCCCACACUGGUACUGAGACACGGACCAGACUCCUACGGGAGGCAGCAGUGAGGAAUAUUGGUCAAUGGGCGAGAGCCUGAACCAGCCAAGUCGCGUGCAGGAAGAAUGUCCUAUGGAUUGUAAACUGCUUUUGCAGGGGAAUAAAGUGAGCCACGUGUGGUUUUUUGUAUGUACUCUGCGAAUAAGGAUCGGCUAACUCCGUGCCAGC
rnacentral:rRNA from 1 species